rnacentral:rRNA from 1 species
AUUUUCCGGUUGAUCCUGCCGGACCCGACCGCUAUCGGGGUGGGACUAAGCCAUGGGAGUCGUGCGCCCCGGGGUAUGGCGGGGCGCGGCGGGCGGCUCAGUAACACGUGGCUAACCUACCCUCGGGACGGGGAUAACCCCUGGGAAACUGGGGCUAAUCCCCGAUAGGGGAGGCGGCCUGGAAUGGUGCCUCCCCGAAAGGGACACGGCGCCAUCCCCGCCGUGUCCGCCCGAGGAUGGGGCUGCGGCCCAUCAGGUAGUUGGCGGGGUAACGGCCCGCCAAGCCGAUAACGGGUGGGGGCCGUGAGAGCGGGAGCCCCGAGAUGGGCACUGAGACAAGGGCCCAGGCCCUAUGGGGCGCACCAGGCGCGAAACCUCCGCAAUGCGGGAAACCGUGACGGGGUCACCCCGAGUGCCUCCCGAUAAGGGAGGCUUUUCCCCGCUGUAAACAGGCGGGGGAAUAAGCGGGGGGCAAGUCUGGUGUCAGCCGCCGCGGUAAUACCAGCCCCGCGAGUGGUCGGGACGAUUAUUGGGCCUAAAGCGCCCGUAGCCGGCCCGGCAAGUCCCCGCGUAAAGCCCCGGGCUCAACCCGGGGAUCUGCGGGGAUACUGCCGGGCUAGGGGGCGGGAGAGGCCGAGGGUACUCCCGGGGUAGGGGCGAAAUCCUGUAAUCCCGGGAGGACCACCAGUGGCGAAGGCGCUCGGCUGGAACGCGCCCGACGGUGAGGGGCGAAAGCCGGGGGAGCAAACCGGAUUAGAUACCCGGGUAGUCCCGGCUGUAAACGAUGCGGGCUAGGUGUUGGGCGGGCCUUGAGCCCGCCCAGUGCCGCAGGGAAGCCGUUAAGCCCGCCGCCUGGGGAGUACGGCCGCAAGGCUGAAACUUAAAGGAAUUGACGGGGGAGCACCACAAGGGGUGGAGCCUGCGGUUUAAUUGGAGUCAACGCCGGAAU